UACGGGGGGAGCAAGCGUUGUUCGGAUUUACUGGGCGUAAAGGGCGCGUAGGCGGUCAGCACAAGUCAGUUGUGAAAUCUCCGGGCUUAACUCGGAAAGGUCAACUGAUACUGUGCGACUAGAGUGCGGAAGGGGCAACUGGAAUUCUCGGUGUAGCGGUGAAAUGCGUAGAUAUCGAGAGGAACACCUGCGGCGAAGGCGGGUUGCUGGGCUGACACUGACGCUGAGGCGCGAAAGCCAGGGGAGCGAACGGG
rnacentral:rRNA from 1 species